rnacentral:rRNA from 1 species
UGUAAGCGUAUACCAAAGUUGUUGCAGUUAAAACGCUCGUAGUCGGAAUUUGGCAGUUCCGGAUGUGUGCACGUCGUGUGCGCACUUCGCGGGGAUUGCUUUUGUGGUCUUGCGUAGGAUGAGGCACUUUUAUUAGUGAACGUCCUCACGCAACCACUUUUUACUGUGAGAAAAUCAGAGUGCUCAAAGCAGGCAUUUGCCGUGAAUGUAUUAGCAUGGAAUAAUAGAAUAGGACUUGGUUCUAUUUUGUUGGUUUGUUGGGACUGAGUAAUGAUUAAGAGGGACAGUUGGGGGCAUUUGUAUUUCGGUGCUAGAGGUGAAAUUCUUAGAUUACCGAAAGACAAACUGCUGCGAAAGCGUCUGCCAUGGAUGUUUUCAUUAA